rnacentral:rRNA from 1 species
GUGUCAGCCGCCGCGGUAACACGGGGGGAGCAAGCGUUGUUCGGAAUCACUGGGCGUAAAGGGCGUGUAGGCGGUUCGGUAAGUGGAAUGUGAAAUGCUCCGGCUCACCCGGAGUACUGCAUCCCAAACUGCCGAGCUUGAGUAUGGGAGAGGAUGAGGGAAUUCCUGGUGUAGCGGUGAAAUGCGUAGAUAUCAGGAGGAACACCGGUGGCGAAGGCGCUCAUCUGGCCCAAUACUGACGCUGAGGCGCGAAAGCUAGGGGAGCAAACGGGAUUAGAUACCCUCGUAGUCC